rnacentral:rRNA from 1 species
CUAUACCGUAGCUUGCUACACCAUAGGCUGUGAGUUGCGAACGGGUGAGUAACGCGUAGGUAACCUGCCUAUUAGAGGGGGAUAACUAUUGGAAACGAUAGCUAAUACCGCAUAACAGUAUGUAACACAUGUUAGAUGCUUGAAAGAUGCAAUUGCAUCGCUAGUAGAUGGACCUGCGUUGUAUUAGCUAGUAGGUAGGGUAAUGGCCUACCUAGGCAACGAUACAUAGCCGACCUGAGAGGGUGAUCGGCCACACUGGGACUGAGACACGGCCCAGACUCCUACGGGAGGCAGCAGUAGGGAAUCUUCGGCAAUGGGGGGAACCCUGACCGAGCAACGCCGCGUGAGUGAAGAAGGUUUUCGGAUCGUAAAGCUCUGUUGUUAAGGAAGAACGAGUGUGAGAAUGGAAAGUUCAUACUGUGACGGUACUUAACCAGAAAGGGACGGCUAACUACGUGCCA